GAGAGUAUAGCUCAGUGGUAGAGUGCAUGCUUAGCAUGCACAAGGUCCUGGAUUCAAUCCCCAGUACCUCCA
rnacentral:tRNA from 1 species